GACCACCCCACUCCACUACAUGCCUGCAGUCAGCAGACUGCCCACUUAAUUAGAUGUGGGGAUGAGGAAGGUAAAAUGACCUUUAAGCAGUGUCAUUGGACUUUGCUGGACAGACAGAAUUACCCCCACAAUACCAUAGACAACUUCUGAUGUGGUGUGACAAGGCGAGCCAAAUUCCUUGGGCCCACGCUGGGGAGCCUUGCCUGAGGAGCAUAAUUUAGUCUCACUCUAUCACCCAGGCUAGAGUGCAGUUGUGUGAUCACCCAACAGUCCCCACAGUUCUUCUGGGCUCAGGUGAUUCUCCCACUUCAGCCUCCCAAGUAGCUGGGACUACAGACCAUUGGUUCUGGGAAGCCAGCUGCCAUAUGGUGAAGACCCUCAAACAGCCCAGGGCAGAGGCCAAUGUGCCAACAACCAAGUGAGUGAGCAAUCUUAGAAGUGGAUCCUGCAGCCCCAGGAAAGCUUUGGAUAACUGCAACCCUAAUUGAUGUCAUGAAAGACCUUAAACCAAAAUCGAUCAGCAAAGCCACUCCCGAAUUCCUGACCCACAGAACCUGUGAGAUAAUAAAUAUUCGUUAGGCCAGGCCCUGUGGCUCACGCCUAUAAUCCCAACACUUUGGGAGGCCUAGGUGGGUGGAUCACCUGAGCUCAGGAGUUCGAGACCAGCCUGACCUACAUGGAGAAACCCCGUCUCUACUAAAAAUAUAAAAAACAAUUAGCCGGGCAAUUAGCCUGUAAUCCCAGUUACUUGGGAGGCUGAGGCAGGAGAAUCGCUUGAACCUCAGAGGCGGAGGUUGUGGUGAGCCGAGAUCACACCAUUGCACUCCAGCCUGGGCAACAAGAGUAAAACUCCAUCUCAAAAAAAUAAAAAAAUAAAUACUUGUUGCUUC
rnacentral:lncRNA from 10 species